rnacentral:rRNA from 1 species
GGACGAACCUCUGGUAUGUCAGUUGUACCGCCAGGUGCAUGGCUGAUUGGCUACGUUCGGGAGGGAUAACCGCUGAAAGCAUCUAAGCGGGAAGCUUGUUUCGUGAUGAGUUCUCCUGGCACCCUUUUGGGUGUGUGAGGUUCCCUGUAGAUGACGGGGUUGAUAGGCCGGGUAUGGAAGCGCUGUAAGGUGUGGAGUUGACUGGUACUAAUAGACCGAAGGCUUACA